rnacentral:rRNA from 1 species
UACAGAGGUCUCAAGCGUUGUUCGGAUUCAUUGGGCGUAAAGGGUGCGUAGGUGGUGAUGCAAGUCUGGUGUGAAAUCUCGGAGCUCAACUCCGAAAUUGCACCGGAUACUGCGUGACUCGAGGACUGUAGAGGAGAUCGGAAUUCACGGUGUAGCAGUGAAAUGCGUAGAUAUCGUGAGGAACACCAGUGGCGAAGGCGGCGAUCUGGGAAGAUACUGACGCUGAGGUGCGAAAGCGUGGGGAGCAAACAGG